UGGGGAAUAUUGGACAAUGGGCGAAAGCCUGAUCCAGCCAUGCCGCGUGUGUGGCGAAGGCCUUAGGGUUGUAAAGCUCUUUUGGCGGGGAAGAUAAUGACGGUACCCGCAGAAUAAGCUCCGGCUAACUUCGUGCCAGCAGCCGCGGUAAUACGAAGGGAGCUAGCGUUGUUCGGAAUCACUGGGCGUAAAGCGCACGUAGGUGGGCAGUUAAGUCAGGGGUGAAAGCCCGAGGCUCAACCUCGGAAUUGCCUCUGAUACUGGCUGUCUAGAGUUCGAGAGAGGUGAGUGGAAUUCCUAGUGUAGAGGUGAAAUUCGUAGAUAUUAGGAAGAACACCGGUGGCGAAGGCGGCUCACUGGCUCGAUACUGACACUGAGGUGCGAAAGCGUGGGGAGCAAACAGGAUUAGAUACCCAAGUAGUCCCUGAGCGGGCUGGCAAGGCGCAU
rnacentral:rRNA from 1 species